rnacentral:tRNA from 1 species
GGAGAGGUGGCCGAGUUGGCUUAAGGCACUCGCCUGCUAAGCGAGGGUGGGGUUGAAAGCUUCACCGCGGGUUCGAAUCCCGCCCUCUCCGCAA